GUGCGAGACCGAUAGCGAACAAGUACCGUGAGGGAAAGAUGAAAAGAACUUUGAAAAGAGAGUUAAAGAGUACCUGAAACUGCUGAAAGGGAACCGAAUCGUUUCCAGUGUCUAUAAUCCAUGGUAUAUUUCAUUGGCGUGUGAGUGCGUGCAGCGUUUUGGAAGCGGUCUCCGCUCCUGUCGUUGUUGUGCAUUUGCUUGCUGGUGCCCUGUGCUGUGGUGGGACGUCAGAGUCAGUUUGUAUGUUGCGGGAAAUGGUUAUCAGGGAGGUAGGUCGCUUCGGUGGCUGUUAUAUCCUGGUAACUAGUCGUCGUGGCUGAGACUGAGGUGCCUACAACGUGCUUUCGAGUCUGCGGGCUUCUCGUGUGGCUGUUUGCUUUGAUAGCUUGUUAUGUUGGUGAAUAAGUCGUGCGAUUGAGACCUGUAGUAACUUGUUGCUGUUCGGGACUUUGA
rnacentral:rRNA from 1 species